rnacentral:rRNA from 1 species
AAAACGACUCUCGGCAACGGAUAUCUCGGCUCUCGCAUCGAUGAAGAACGUAGCGAACUGCGGUACUUGGUGUGAAUUGCAGAAUCCCGUGAACCAUCGAGUCUUUGAACGCAAGUUGCGCCCGAAGCCAUUAGGCCGAGGGCACGUCUGCCUGGGCGUCACGC